AGACGAUGUCCAUAAAUUAGACAACAAUACUGAACAGUUGUAGCCCGUUGGUAGUGGUAGGCUUCUGGCUGUGAUCUCUGACCACUGUAACAGUGAAUAGUGGCAAUUUACCCGCGGUGUAUAGGCUUGUUUACUAGGCUAACUAGUGCAUUGGGGUGGGCUAUGUGCAGCAUGGGCAUACAGGAAACCACUCUAGCCGCUUAACUCACCUUGGCCACGAGCUCUAUAGUUUACAGCUAUUGCAUCACCUACAAAGCAUCAACUGAAUGUUGAAUGUCAGGAGCAGAGCAAUUCUACCAGGAGCAGAGCAACCUCAGUGAUGGAAACCACAGAAGAGGGGAAGCUCAACAAUGUGGAACAUCUGACACUGAUGGACUUCCUUCAAAACCUAACUGAGAAG
ensembl:lncRNA